UACAGGAGGUCUCAAGCGAUUGUUCGGAUUCAUUGGGCGUAAAGGGUGCGUAGGCGGCGCGGUAAGUCGGGUGUGAAAUCUCGGAGCUUAACUCCGAAACUGCAUUCGAUACUGCCGUGCUUGAGGACUGGAGAGGAGACUGGAAUUUACGGUGUAGCGGUGAAAUGCGUAGAUAUCGUAAGGAAGACCAGUGGCGAAGGCGGGUCUCUGGACAGUUCCUGACGCUGAGGCGACGGAAGGCCCAGGGGAGCAAACGGG
rnacentral:rRNA from 1 species